CUAGCAUAAUAAGUAUUAGAGGCACUGCCUGCCCAGUGACAUUAGUUAAACGGCCGCGGUAUCCUGACCGUGCAAAGGUAGCAUAAUCAUUUGUUCCUUAAUUAGGGACUUGUAUGAAUGGCCACACGAGGGUUUAACUGUCUCUUACUUUCAAUCAGUGAAAUUGACCUUCCCGUGAAGAGGCGGGAAUAAAAAAAUAAGACGAGAAGACCCUAUGGAGCUUAAAUUAAACUAUUCAAUAAUUUAAACAUAAUUCCCACAGGAACAAAGACACAUUAUAUGAAUAAUAAAUUUUGGUUGGGGUGACCUCGGAGUAUAAAACAACCUCCGAGUAAUUUAAACCAAGACUCACUCGUCAAAGUAAUAAAGCCUAUUGAUCCAAUCAUAUUGAUCAACGGAACAAGUUACCCUAGGGAUAACAGCGCAAUCCUAUUUAAGAGUUCACAUCGACAAUAGGGUUUACGACCUCGAUGUUGGAUCAGGACACCCAAAUGGUGCAGCAGCUAUUAAAGGUUCGUUUGUUCAACG
rnacentral:rRNA from 1 species